UUGCUUGUCAACCGCCAUUAAACCCAGAAACAACAGCAGCCAUGGCCGAACUGAACCGGCAGCUCCAGGAGUAUCUCUCCCAGUCCAAGAGCGGCGGAACCAAGUCCAGCUCCAGCACCUUGGUGGAGGUGGGAGAACCGGAGGCGGUACCGGGCAGCUGGUUCGGUCGGUGGUCCAGUCCGUGGUCCGGUCAGAGCUCCGCGGGAAGCAGCGGCUCCUCCUGGCCCUGGUCCUCCGAACCGGACCCGUGCCUCCCCGGGGUGAGCCGGCAGCAGCGGCUGCUGGGCUUCGGCGUCUGCCUGGGCCUGUCGGUGCUCUGCUUCGGACUCUCGGCUCUCUACGCCCCGCUGCUGCUCCUCUACGCCCGGAAGUUCGCCCUGCUCUGGACGCUGGGCUCCCUGUUCGCCGUGGCGGCGGUGUCGGUUCUGCGGGGCCCCAGUAAGCUGCUGUCCGGCCUGCACCGGUCCCCCGGAGCCGCCGCCUACCUGUGCGCCCUAGCUGGGACUCUGUACGCGGCGCUGGGCCUCCACAGCACGGUGCUGACCGCGCUGGGAGCCGGCCUGCAGGGGGCGCUGCUCCUGGGGGGCCUGCUGGCCCUGCUGCCCGGGGGCAGCGCCGGGAUCCGGUAUCUGAGCGGCUGGACGCUCUCCCUCCUCAAGAGGACCGUCAGCGGCAGAACCAUGGCGAUCUGAGCGGAACCGACCCAGACUAAACCCUCAGCGCUGACUGCCAGGACCACAGACCUAAAGCUGAUGGAGGGGAAUAAACCCUCAGCGCUGACUGCCAGGACCACAGACCUAAAACUGAUGGAGGGGGAAUAAACCCUCAGCGCUGACUGGCAGGACCAAAAACCUAAAACUGAUGGAGAGGGAUUUAAACCCUCAGCGCUGACUGGCAGGACCACAGAUCUAAAGCUGAUGGAGGGGGAAUAAACCCUCAGUGCUGACUGCCAGGUCCAUAGACCUAAAACUGAUGGAGGGG